AUUAGUUUUCUUAUGAUUGAUUACCAUUGUGAAGAGAUGCAGAAGCAUAAGCUUAUCGACUUCAUUGUGCAAUUCAUGGAAGAUAUUGAUAAAGAGAUUAAUGAACUGAAAUUGUCUAUGAACACACGAGGAAGAUUAGUGGCAACUGAAUUUCUGAAGCAAUUAUGAGAUGUGUAAAUGCAAAGAUGGCGGUCUAAAUCUAAGUGUUCAUUUGAUUGGAGGAAUUUUUAUAUUGGGCCAACAUUGGAUAAAUUGGAUCCCAUGGAAUGUAUUUAGCAUAAGAGGUUGGGCCGUUGGGAAUGAGCUGAAACUUGGAAAUAGACAAGAUUACAGUCUUGAUGAUUUUAUGUCAAUUGCAUGUAAUUGGUAAUAUGGUGUGAAUGGUUUACGGAAUAUGAUUUUAGUCAAUGGCAUGUGGUAUUGUGGUUUUGGUUAAGAAUUACUACAAAAUUUAUAAUACAUAUAAACAUUGAU